rnacentral:rRNA from 1 species
AUCCCAGUUCCAAUAGCGUAUAUUUAAGUUGUUGCAGUUAAAAAGCUCGUAGUUGGAAUUCGGUUGAGAGCGGCCGGUCCGCCGUUUGGUGUGCACUGGCUGGUCUCAACUUCCUGCGGAGGACGCGCUCUGGGCUUAACGGUCUGGACGUGGAGUCCGCGUGGUUACUUUGAAAAAAUUAGAGUGUUCAAAGCGGGCUUACGCUUGAAUAUUUCAGCAUGGAAUAACACUUUAGGACUCCUGUCCUAUUUCGUUGGUCUCGGGACGGGAGUAAUGAUUAAGAGGAACAGUUGGGGGCAUUCGUAUUUCAUUGUCAGAGGUGAAAUUCUUGGAUUUAUGAAAGACAAACUUCUGCGAAAGCAUUUGCCAUGGAUGUUUUCAUCG